rnacentral:rRNA from 1 species
GAUGAACGCUGGCGGCGUGCCUAAUACAUGCAAGUCGAGCGAACGGACGAGAAGCUCGCUUCUCUGAUGUUAGCGGCGGACGGGUGAGUCACACGUGGAUAACCUACCUAUAAGACUGGGAUAACUUCGCGAAACCGGAGCUAAUACCGGAUAAUAUUUUGAACCGCAUGGUUCAAAAGUAAAAGACGGUCUUGCUGUCACUUAUAGAUGGAUCCGCGCUGCAUUAGCUAGUUGGUAAGGUAACGGCUUACCAAGGCAACGAUGCAUAGCCGACCUGAGAGGGUGAUCGGCCACACUGGAACUGAGACACGGUCCAGACUCCUACGGGAGGCAGCAGUAGGGAAUCUUGCGCAAUGGGCGAAAGCCUGACGGAGCAACGCCGCGUGAGUGAUGAAGGUCUUCGGAUCGUAAAACUCUGUUAUUAGGGAAGAACAUAUGUGUAAGUAACUGUGCACAUCUUGACGGUACCUAAUCAGAAAGCCACGGCUAACUACGUG